rnacentral:rRNA from 1 species
GAUGAACGCUGGCGGCGUGCCUAAUACAUGCAAGUCGAGCGAACAGAUGAGGAGCUUGCUCCUCUGACGUUAGCGGCGGACGGGUGAGUAACACGUGGAUAACCUACCUAUAAGACUGGGAUAACUUCGGGAAACCGGAGCUAAUACCGGAUAAUAUAUUGAACCGCAUGGUUCAAUAGUGAAAGACGGUUUUGCUGUCACUUAUAGAUGGAUCCGCGCCGCAUUAGCUAGUUGGUAAGGUAACGGCUUACCAAGGCAACGAUGCGUAGCCGACCUGAGAGGGUGAUCGGCCACACUGGAACUGGGACACGGUCCAGACUCCUACGGGAGGCAGCAGUAGGGAAUCGUCCGCAAUGGGCGAAAGCCUGACGGAGCAACGCCGCGUGAGUGAUGAAGGUCUUCGGAUCGUAAAACUCUGUUAUUAGGGAAGAACAAAUGUGUAAGUAACUAUGCACGUCUUGACGGUACCUAAUCAGAAAGCCACGGCUAACUACGUG